rnacentral:rRNA from 1 species
UAGGGAAUAUUGGUAAUGGGCGAAAGCCUGAACCAGCAACGCCGCGUGUGCGAAGAAGGCCUUCGGGUUGUAAAGCACUUUUUAAGGGGAUGAGGAAGGACAGUACCCUUAGAAUAAGCCUCGGCUAACUACGUGCCAGCAGCCGCGGUAACACGUAGGAGGCAAGCGUUAUUCGGAUUUACUGGGCGUAAAGCGCGUGCAGGCGGUUUGGUAAGUUGGAUGUGAAAGCUCCCGGCCUAACUGGGAGAGGUCGUUCAAUACUACCAGACUAGAGGAUGGGAGAGGGAGGUGGAAUUCCGGGUGUAGUGGUGAAAUGCGUAGAUAUCCGGAGGAACACCAGUGGCGAAAGCGGCCUCCUGGCCCAUUUCUGACGCUCAGACGCGAAAGCUAGGGUAGCAAACG